CAGUCGCCGCGGUAAUACGAAGGGGGCUAGCGUUGCUCGGAAUAACUGGGCGUAAAGGGCGCGUAGGCGGUUUUGACAGUCAGAUGUGAAAUUCCUGGGCUUAACCUGGGGGCUGCAUUUGAGACGUCAAGACUAGAGUGUGAGAGAGGGUUGUGGAAUUCCCAGUGUAGAGGUGAAAUUCGUAGAUAUUGGGAAGAACACCGGUGGCGAAGGCGGCAACCUGGCUCAUUACUGACGCUGAGGCGCGAAAGCGUGGGGAGCAAACAGGAUUAGAUACCCCCGUAGUCCCUGUCUCUUAUAC
rnacentral:rRNA from 1 species